rnacentral:misc_RNA from 1 species
AAGUCGUAACAAGGUUUCCGUAGGUGAACCUGCGGAAGGAUCAUUAACACGUAUCCAACGUUAAACCCCCCGUGAACCUUCAGUGCGCUCGCACUUUCUUAGAAAAGGUAGCAAUCCCUGGUAAAUCAUUGCGUAGACUGUGCUUGAGCGUGAGGCAAGUGGCCUGGCAUUCCUCUGCUUGUUGGUGUCUGAAAGUGUCACCAGCUCUGUACGAAUGGCGCAGUCACGAUCGCUAGAGGCCGACACGGCCGGCGACCGGGUCACUGGGCGCGAGCCCCCCUCGUCACCUUUGCAUGAAAACGGGCCUGCGCUUAAUUGUGCGGCCACCAAACUCGAACAACUGUUAACAAUGGAUAUCUUGGUUCUC